rnacentral:rRNA from 1 species
UACAGAGGUCUCAAGCGUUGUUCGGAUUUAUUGGGCGUAAAGGGCGCGUAGGCGGCGGGGUAAGUCGGGUGUGAAAUCUCAGGGCUCAACCCUGAAACUGCACUUGAUACUGCUCUGCUUGAGGACUGGAGAGGAGACUGGAAUUCACGGUGUAGCAGUGAAAUGCGUAGAUAUCGUGAGGAAGACCAGUGGCGAAGGCGGGUCUCUGGGCCGUAACUGACGCUGAGGAGCGAAAGCGUGGGGAGCGAACAGG